GACGGAGGAUGCAAGUGUUAUCCGGAAUCACUGGGCGUAAAGCGUCUGUAGGUGGUUUUAAAAAAGUCUACUGUUAAAGCUUGAAGCUUAACUUCAAAAAAUGCCGUAGAAACUUUUAAACUUGAGUAUGGUAGGGGUAGAGGGAAUUUCCAGUGGAGCGGUGAAAUGCGUAGAUCUUGGAAAGACCACCAAUGGCGAAGGCACUCUACUGGGGCCAUUACUGACACUAAGAGACGAAAGCUAGGGGAGCAAAAUGGGG
rnacentral:rRNA from 1 species